CAAUGGCCUAUGAUAACUUUUCAGAGAUUUCAAUCUGAAGUCACUUAGGGCAAUGUCUGUUGAAUCUCUUGGAAUACUGUAGGUGAGAAGGUAAUUGAAUCUCAAAUGUUUUAUUUUUAAAGUUUUAUUUAAGUUAUAGGUCACCCACUCCUAAAUGGUUCUGGACAGCUUACAGCUAAUAACUCAAAGUGCUAAAAGAAGAGCAAUUGACCAGAAGAGCAAAAUACAAAACAGAUAAAAAUAAAACACAGCAGAGCAAAGCAAGAAGGAGGCUGCACAACCACCAUGUCCCCAAGACCUGGAACAAUGACCAGAGCUUCAAUAAUUUCCUGAUGGAAUUAUGUGAAUUGGACCUGUCUGUCACUUCAAGAAAGAAUGGCAAUGCCUAGUCAUGAUGUCAAAGGAUAGCUAUCAUGUCAUCAGACAUAAACACUGCUUAUAGAAAAAUAGAAAAUUGAGCACAGAGAAAGACCUAGUGGUCCAUCAAGUUUUCUCUUGUUUAUCUGCAUUUGUCUUUUGUUUUCUUUUUAAUUUAUUAUUUUAAUUAUUUUUAUAUAUAUUUUUAAUUUUUGUCAGACAUGGGUAUGUGUUUAUCCCCAAUAUAUUUAAAUUCAAUUACUGAUGAUUGAUCCCCUAAAUCUGUUGGAAGUUAGUUCCAAGCUUUCACUACUCUUUCUAUGAGGUAAUGCUUUGUAAUAUUACUUUUGAACAUCUCACCUGACAGUUUUAGGUUAUGCCCCUGUAUUUUGCUUAAAUUUGCAUAUUUAUAGAAAAUACUGCUUUCUAGAACCUUAUUCACAAUGUAUUUAAAGAUUUCAAUCAUGUUCCCCCCUCCCCUUAUUAAGCUAUUACAUGGGUUGGGUUUUUUGGGGGGUUGGAAUGGUAAGAAUGAAAUAAUAAUUUGAUUGUGGUUUGAUGUGAAUACUUAUACAUUGGAUUUAUAUUCAUCUCUGUUUUCCAACUAAGCCAUGGCUCAUUUUAAGUAUGGUUUGCUGACAAAGCCAAAAUUGUCUGAGUUCAAAGAUUGCACUCAUUCAUAAUCUGUAUUUUGCAAAGAACAAAUGAGUGGAUCCACAAAAUAGGAUUAACUGAAAUGAAACAACUGCUGAUGUUUUGUAUUUAAUUAAGUUGAGUAGGUAAAAAAAAGUCCUCUUUUCUCCCCGUGGUAAAUACAGUAUAUUAGGAAGGAGGACCAUCAACUUUUAUUAUUUGGCUUAGACUCAACAGGUGCUCCAUGAUUCACAUCACUUUUAUCAACAGAAGUUAGAUAUUUCUGUUUAUAUCAAUCCUUGGAUUCUGACUAAGCAAUAUAUUGAGAGAGAGAGAGAGGGAGGGAGAGAGGGAGGGAGGGAGGGAGGGAGGGAGGAUGGUAUUCAUGGAAUAAUUGAACACUCAUUUCUCAAAAACAUUGGAACUUCAACUUUAGAUGUGGGCUUUACAUGACUAAACUUGUUGAACUCCUAUAUACUAUCAUUUAGAAACUACUGCCAACAUGAAAUAUGUAAAGACUGGAUAUGUUGUAAAUCCACGUCUUAAGAUCACAGCUUUAAUUUUAUUAAUGAAGCUGAAAAAGAAACAAAUAAGGAAAUGGCCUUUCUCAUUAAAAAAAAUGUUUUGCAGCUGCUUCAGUGCAGGCGUUUUUGUUUAUGAGUGCGUAUGCACUGGCUAAUGCUUGUUGGCUGCAAAGAAGGACACGGCUUUAAAAAUGAAUUUUGAAGCUUGAACCUAUCAGUCAGAUGCUUGAACCAUGGACUAAGAAGACAUAAGACUUUAUUCCAAUGCAAAUAUGUUUUUUCCCACUGGGGUCUUUUAUUUUUAAGAUAAAUUAUAUGUCCUUGUGUUACCUUAGUUAAAUAUAGAUAAACAAUCAAUCUCCCUCCCUCCCUCCCUCCCUCUCUCUCUCUCUGUCUCUCUCUGUAUUAUUCUCUAAAUAAUACAUUAUUCAGAGCUAGUAAUAUCUUUUCCUGUGAAUUCUGCCCUUGGACACAAGCCCAUGGCCACAAUUUGUUGUCUGAUUUUUUCCUAAAAUCUAAAUUCUACAUUUUUCUUUGCCUUGUUUAUCCAUUUUAGAAUAUGUUGUUCAUUAAAAUAUUAUUUACAUUUAGUAUAGGAUAGAUAUAAAAAUAUGAAGUCAGUAUAUGUAUCCCCAAUGAGGUACAAAUGAUAUUUCCUAUGGAAGGAAUUAGGUAAGUUGAGGUUUAUAUAUAUUUGUGGCUAAAUUUAUGGUUAUGUUAAACUAUAGUUGUUUGGAAUAAGCAACAGUAAGUGGGUUGCUUAUUCAUACUAAACCCUGAGUUUUUAAAAGCCAGUUUGAAUAUUGUCCUAAGUCAUAAUCAGUGGCCUGUAGUCCCCAAGUUCUGGAUUCAUAUAAAGCUCCAUCCAAACUCUUAGCUGUGAUAUGUGAAAUUUAUCUUUCAGAAUCUAGUUAUACUUACAAGUUGUUUAAUAACGGAACUGGUUAAGCAUUUGUUCUACAGAAACAAAAGCAAAAAAAAAAAAAUCUCCUUAUGUCAUAUACAUUUAAUUCAUGUAUGUAUUAGCCUGGUUGCUUAGGACAUUCCAACAAUUCAGAUUCCAGUGAUCAUAUCUGACAUUUAAUAAAAACAGCAAUGAGAUUUUUUAAAUUGUUAUUCUGCUUGUAACCUUACCAGGAAUGAGAGAACUCUGCAACAUUAAUCCAGCCCUUCAUCAUGACAUGUUUGGCCUACUGCAAUGAGUUCUACAUGGGAGUGCCUUGGGAGACUAUGGCUUGGUCCAAAAUGCAGCAAUCUGUAUGUUGGCGGAUACUCACAACAUAAUACAUCUGAGCUACAUGUCCUGUGCUGGCUCCUGAUUGGUUUCCAAGGGCAGCUCAACAUUCUGCUUUUGAUCUCCUUGGCUUAGAACAGAUGUACUUGCAGGAACAACUUUGCUACCCAAUUUUGACUCAGCCAAUUUGAAUUUCCUGGAAGAACCUGGUCACAACCCUUCACUUUCAUGAGAUAACUGGCCUGGAGGUUCCUAUGUGUGUGUGUUUUUGUGGAUGUACAUUUACUCCUCCAUUCAAUUGAGUUUCUUAAUUAUAUUAAAAUUGAUUUGUUUCAGCUACGUUUGGGGAAGAUAAGCUGAUGCAAUUAGACUGAUUAUUGUCUGAUUAUUAGCAUUUGAGUAUUGGUUUUAUAUUGUUUUUUACCAAUAAUUUCAAAUGUAUACAGAGGAAUUACAGAAAUGUACAGAGGAAUUAUGGAGAGUCUUUUUGACUGCAGUGGAAUACAGAUACAGAUGCAAUUACUUAAUUUUCAAGUAAGUCCUAUAUUACUUAGUGGAAUUACUCAAUUAUGUAUCAACUAGUAAGGUCUGGCAUCAUCAUAGCUAAUAUUCUUUUCUGGCUAUUUCAUAGAACAGCAGCAGUUCAAUAUCACUUUAGAUGAAAAUCAAUGAAGUAUUGUAGCUAGAAUAUCAGAUUCAUUAGGCAAAACUUUGCAUCAUUAUAGAAGUUUUGUAUAUUUUAAUUUUAACUCCCUCUUUUACUAUAUUCUAUUAAAACAUAGUGAAGAUGUAAGAAUCCCCUUUUAGAAGACUGUUAGGUCAUAUAAAAAGAUAAUCAUGGAAUCUUUUUUCUUCUUCUCAGUUACAGCCUUUAUGGACAUCAUUAAGGAAAAGGAAAAAACAUGCACGACUAUCAAUCUUUAUUAAGCUAAAAGAAGCUCUCUUUAGCCAUAGCCUUUGUGAAGAUCUGAGCCAUUUUGGGGAUUUCUUCAGUGUUAAAGAGGAAGAAGGCUGCUAAGGCAAGUCAAAAUAAGGAAGUGUGGACUAUCCUUUUUUUUAGUUGUUUUUAUUGGUCUGCUUUGCUGUGGGUGGCUGAAACAUUUCUGAUUUGGCCAGCAAUUCUUCAGUGAUUUACAAAAAAGCUACUCUUUGAGAUGUAUUUGAAAAAUCUUUAAAUAAAAUCUAUCACUUCAUAGAUCAGCUACACUAUGUUCCAAGGAUGUUAAAAAACUUUCCAAACUAUUUCAGAGUUGCAAAUAUGUGUAGAAGGUUACCAAAGCACCAAAGCAAUUUCUUAUUAUGAUGGUUUAAAUAUUAACCUCCCAACACAAUGGAAAGAAGAGCUCCAAGAAAAUCUGCAACUUUUAAAAGACAAUGUGGGACUUUUUCCUUAUAGACAUUAACAAGAAGAAAUCCUUGAGAAAAAGAGCUUAUAAUUACUUGACAAACACUCUAUAGAAGAAAAAGAUGUUACUCCAUAAAGACAAGCUGGAAAGAGUGACUUAAACUUCAUUAGUCAUUUGGAAUUAGGAUGCAUUUUUAUGAGUUUGAUAUUUGUAAUUGAAAGAAAGUCUUAAUCUAAAGUUUGAAAAUGUAUUUUUCCUUUACAUAUAAUGCUUAAGUAAUUCUUAAAGUUUGUAAAAUAUUAUUGAAAGUGUAUUUGAGAGUAUCUGUAUUAAGAGAAAGUUGAAGAAAAAGAUGUAUUAAUUUAAUGAAAAGAUUAGUGUUUUAAAAAGGAUGUAUACAAGAAAAAAAUAAUUAUGUGAGGGUAACUUGAAGGGAGUGAAUUAAAUUUAAUAGUGAACUUUAAAGCAUGCAUGUUAAGGGAAGUUUUAAAAGAUGUAUUAGAAAACAUUGAUUUCAGAAAUGAUUUUAAAGAAAAUGUAGUAUUUAACAUUGAUGAAAAAAGUAUUUUUCCCUUUAAGGUUAAAGAAUCUAAAAGAAUACAGUAAAUUUUGUUAAUAUAAAUGGUGAUAGUUUAUAAAGGUUAUUGAGUGGAAAUAGAAAUGCAUAUUAUUUCCAUAGCAAAGAAGAUAAAGCAGAAUUGUGAAAUUAAUUGUGUUAUUCAAAGAGGAGCAAUAUAUUAUGUUUUUUAUUUGGA